UACGAAGGGGGCUAGCGUUGCUCGGAAUUACUGGGCGUAAAGCGCACGUAGGCGGUCUUUUAAGUCGGGGGUGAAAUCCUGGAGCUCAACUCCAGAACUGCCUUCGAUACUGGAAGACUUGAGUCCGGGAGAGGUGAGUGGAACUGCGAGUGUAGAGGUGAAAUUCGUAGAUAUUCGGAAGAACACCAGUGGCGAAGGCGACUUACUGGACACAUAUUGACGCUGAGGUGCGAAAGCGUGGGGAGCAAACAGG
rnacentral:rRNA from 1 species